rnacentral:lncRNA from 1 species
AUGCGCAGCGCUGCUGGCCCGCUCUCUGAGGAGCUUUCAAUACUUUGGGGUCAAGUUUGAGGCAGUUGUAACUGUACUGAGUUUAGUUUUGCUAAUAAUGGUAUUCUACGUGUGUCAGCCUCGUGUGGACUUCUGUAAUGACUAAUGGAUAUGUUUAUAUCCUGAGCAUUUGCUGUAGGAAUUUUAAAUGCAAUCCCAAAACUCAAGAUUACCUUAUUUGGAGAAAUAUUCGUGUUACUAUGUUUAAAAUUUAAUAGAACCAUAUUUUACCUUUCACUUUGGGACUCGCACAGGAUGUUUGCAGCUCUUGAUAUACAGGAGUGUUAAGGGUCUUCAUAAACAGAAACCGCAAGGAACCUGGGAUCUGACAGCUGUUGGAGGAAUGCCUGUGAGGAAGGAGGAGGAACAGAAGAAUGCUUUGAUGUCUUAAAUGGUACAUCCAAACUUAAGUGAAAUAGAGCUGUGAGGACAUUUUGGGGAGAAGUGACCUAGAUAAGCACUGACUGUUGCAUUCAUCUCUCUUCUUGCUGAUUGUGAUGAUUUCCUGUGCCAUAGCCAUUCAAAGUCUGCCAAAAAAGCUAGCAUGUAAUUUUCUUUCUCUACUUCUCUACAUUUGGAGGAUGGAAAUGUAGAUGUUCUUCCAUUGUGCCAGCCUCCUCAUUCUUCUUUCUCCAAUGCCGCAUCUUCCUGCAAACUUCCUGCCACAACUCAAACAACAGGAAAAUAAAUGAUCUGAAAUCCUCCUGAA